UUCCGGUUGAUCCCGCCGGAGGCUACCGCUAUUGGAGUUCGAUUAAGCCAUGCGAGUCGCGAGUCUUAGGGACUCGGCGUACCGCUCAGUAACACGUGGGUAACCUGCCCUAUGCUGGGGGAUAACCUCGGGAAACUGAGAAUAAUACCCCAUAGUUCACCACGCCUGGAACGGUGGGUGGACCAAAGCUCCGGCGGCAUAGGAUGGGCCUGCGGCGUAUCAGGUUGUAGGGGGUGUAAUGUACCCUCUAGCCCUCUACGCGUACGGGUGUUGAGAGACAUCGCCCGGAGAUGGAUUCUGAGACACGAAUCCAGACCCUACGGGGUGCAGCAGGCGCGAAAACUUGGCAAUGCGAGAAAUCGUGACCAGGGAACUCCAAGUGCAUCGGGUAAGACCGAUGCUUUUCUUGACUCUUCAAAGGUCUUGGAAUAAGGGGUGGGUAAGGACGGUGCCAGCCGCCGCGGUAAUACCGGCGCCUCAAGUGGUAGUCGCUUUUAUUGGGCCUAAAACGUCCGUAGCCGGUUUGGUACAUUCGUGGGUAAAUCAAGGCGCUCAACGUCUUGAAUUCUGCGAGCACGGCCAGACUUGGGACCGGGUGAGGUGUGGGGUACUCUCAGGGUAGGGGUAAAAUCCUGUCAUCCUGAGAGGACCACCUGUUGCGAAGGCGCCACACUAGAACGGAUCCGACGGUCAGGGACGAAGCCUAGGGGCACGAACCGGAUUAGAUACCCGGGUAGUCCUAGGUGUAAACGCUGUGGACUUGAUGUUGGGAGUGCUCCGAGCACCCUCAGUGUCGAAGCGAAGGUGAUAAGUCCACUGCCUGGGGAGUACGGUCGCAAGGCUGAAACUUAAAGGAAUUGGCGGGGGAGCACUGCAACCUGAGGAUUGUGCGGUUUAAUUGGAUUCAACGCCGGA
rnacentral:rRNA from 1 species